UGUUAGCAAAAUUUGAUGUGUAAAGUUUGUCUGUCACUGCUGAACCAGGAUUUGCCAGAACAAGCUGCUCAAACAAGUAACAAACUCUUGGUAAGAAUUAACAUACUACUACCUUGUCCUAUCAUACACACUUUUAAUUGUUUCAUUUUAUAUCAUAGCAGACAUACAUAGAUCCGUUUGAAUUGACUUAUUUGAACUUAUCUGCCGACAUAAACACUUAUGAGGCUGUUUGAAACUCUUAAAAGAUAGCUUAUGAAAAUAACUUAUAACCACUUUUCAUAUAAGCGUUUAUGCCAAAAGCUACAAAUUAAGUUGUUUUUACCUGAACACCUCUUUUCUCAAGACUUUUAUGUAACUCUUCAAAGGCUUGGAUGCCACUGGUAUCUAUGUCAGUAACAGCUGCAACAUAAUCACAAAAUUUAGUUUAGUCCAAGAAAAACAACAUAAAAAUGAUGUUUUACUAUAGGAAUAUGAGGCAAAAAAUCGAGACUAACGUGACAUUUCAACUAUCAAAAACUGAAUUCUUGUAUGGUAGUCUCCUUUCACUGCUUCUUCAUCUGUUAGCCAUCUUAAUAUCCUGCAACAGAAUAAAUCUUAAGUCUGAAGAAAAAGUUGAAAUUGGAUAGUUUCAAUGUAUAAACAAAGGAAGAAGAUAUUCUUUACCUUUCUUUAACAUAGUUGGAGUUGGAAAAAUAUAUUGCAGAAUCAACUCUUACAAUCAUUACACCAGGAACCUUACUAGCUUCAGGGUAUUGUUGGAUGUUUCUAUAGACAGUUGUCCUAGGAAUCUUUCCCAAAAUAGCAGUUCUUGGCCUUGUCACUUGUAAGAGGAUCUUUGCAAAAGAUAUUGAAACCUGCCAUAAAGGGUAAAGAUAAUAAGGUCUCGUUAAACGUUCUAGUUACUCUCAUGUGUGAUUUUUGGUUUUAAAAUUAGCUCAUAAUUCCACUUAUCUCACAAUGUAGUCUGCAUUUAAAUUACUAUGAUAUUAUUUGUUUACUUAGCAAUGUCGUAAAUAGACACCGGGUAUGCUAUGCAGAAAUCUAAUGUAUAUGAUAUAUUCACUAAUUGCAUUAACUAUGUUUUCUUUGUAACAGCGAUCUAAAUAAUUUUACUUAACUUGUGUUACAAGUUUGUCCUACUUAGUACUAGUCUUAAUUAGGCUCAUAUGUUAUUGAAAAUUUAGAGCAUAGAGCAUAGGAUAAGUAAGUUUUCGUGCUUACAGCAAUUAGAAGUCCUAUCUCGACCGAGAUGAAAACAACCCCAAAGAAUGCUCCCAUGCAAGCAACAAAAUCGAAUUUAUCAAUCUUCCAAAUCAAAAUUGCUGCCUGAUAGUCCACAAGGCUGAUGACAGCAGAAAUGAUGAUGGAGGCGAGAAUGGCAUUCGGAGUGUACUUAAAAAGAGGAGUUAUAAAUUCUAGUGUUAAAAAUACAACCGCUGACAUCACAAUAUUGGAGACUGCAGUUUGGCAGCCAGCCAUGUAGUUUACUGCCGACCGAGAGAAAGAACCUGUUUUGAAGAAAAACAAUGAGAGAUCAGAUACUAAAAUAUUAGUCUAAAGACACUCAACUUUUUUCAUGUUGAAUAAAUCGUUAGUUUAGUCCAUAAAAUUGUAGAUGUAUGACGAUACAAUUUAAUCGCUGAAAUCAACGAAAUUUAAAAUAGAUGACAAAAAGUAGUAACAGUUAUAAAUCCUGUCUUUGAUCUUACCAGUUGCCACAUAACAGGAAGUCAUCGAACCAACGACAUUCAUUGUUCCUAAUGCCACCAUUUCUCUGUUUCCAUCCAAUUGAUAAUCCUUCAUAGAUGCAAAUGUUCUUCCAAUAGCUAUGGCUUCCUGAAAACCAAAAUUAAAUAGUUUCAUUAGAAAUGUUAGAGUAAAUGGAAGAACUACUCAUCAAAAGAGGUACUAGUAUAUUAAUUUUACUUACAGUUAGUGCUAUCAUGCCUGCCGUGACGCCGAUUUUAAAACCUUUCCCAAGGUAGUCACCGGUAAAAUAAAUUUUAUGAACAGAUGAAGGAUUGAUCCCUUUCUCUAUGUGAUUUACCUUCACAUAUCAAUGGUCAAAAAUUUUAGUUCUGCGGUAGUUAAGAUUAUAUGUGACUACAGUCACAUUCUGCAGUAUAUUAAUCAGAAUGUGAAUGGAAAUAGUACAUAUACUUACAAUUUCGACUCCUUGCUUAUCUGCACGUGUUAUGAAUACAAAAAAAGUGGACAACACAACAGAUAUCAAUGGCGCAAUCGCUGGCACCCAGAAGAGUUUCUUGUUCUUCUUUCCCUAAUCAACACAACAUGAAAUAGUUAGAAAAAACUUUAUAGUUCUAACUAUUUAAGGAGUAAUAGUAAUAUGAAAUAGGGAGUUUAUUUCAUACAAUAAAUUUGGCGACCAGAAGAAAACUCAAAAAGCUAGCUCCGAUUAAUAUUGUUUGCCAGUUCCACUGCAAGAUGUUAAAUAUUAGAUCAUCAAUAAAUUUUGCACUUACAAACAUACACAACUGGUUAGAAAUUUUUAAUAUUAGGCAAGGACAUCUUGAGAUUAGUUUACACUGACAGUUCAUGUUUCAUUUUUCUUAUUUAGUUAAUAACUUGUUUGUGCAUAUUGAGAGAGAAAGAGAGCAAGAGCAUACUCCAUGUUCGGCUGAUGAGAAUACUGCACGCAACACGUUAACAAUAUCUGUUUUUGUUGUGAAAUUUUUAGUUUUAAUGCCGAGAAAACCUUUUAGCUGUUGAAGGGCAAUAGUGAUAGCAGCACCCCCCAUAAAACCAACAAUAGCAGCAUGGGAUAGAAAAUCAAUCAAGAAACCUAACCUGUUUUUUCGAAGAAAAAAAAACACAAGAACCAAUCCAACUAUAAGAACAUCAUGGUAUAUCAAGUAGUGUAACAUUAGCAAUAGCUGGUAUAAUACAUAUAUAUCUGGUGUCUGUGUCGGUGCUUCAUAGGAUAUACCUAAAAACCCCGAGUGUUGCUUGUGUAAUCCCAGCAAAAAAUGUGGCUGUAAAAGCAAGUCUUUGAUAUUCUGCUGCAUGUGUAACAGGAUCAAUCUCAUUACUAAGCAAUGUCCCCAACAAGAGAGAAACCACUGCCACUGGUCCUAUUGCUAUAUCGCGAGAACUACCCAUGAAAGCAUAAAUCAAUGGUGGAACAAAGCUUGAAUCUGUAAAAUGGCAAACAAAAAGUAACAAAAUUUCAGUUCAACAUCCAAAAAUCUAUAAAAUAAAAAAAUAACUUGGGAUAUGAGACAAGACAAGAGUCUUACA
rnacentral:lncRNA from 1 species